GGCAGUUUGGCCGAGUGGUCUAAGGCGCUCGCCUGCUAAGCGAGUCCCUUCGGGGGCCAGAGUUCGAAUCUCUGAGCUGUCG
rfam:Penicillium polonicum strain IBT 4502 PENPOL_contig006, whole genome shotgun sequence.